UUGAUUCGAAUAACUACUACAUUAAUUUUAACUUUUUUAAUUGUUGGAUUUGUUAUAUAUUUUUUAUAUAGGUGAGCUCUGUUGGAGUUACAGGUGCCCGUUCAUCAGUUAGUUCACGUGUUCAACAUCUCCUACAGGAACUUAAAGAGGUUUGUCACCCUCCUUUCCGUUUCCUUCAUUAUUGCAAAGCAAACCAUCUGUCACUGAAGUGGUCAAAUUUAACAUUGACAUUAUUAAAUAUAGUGUGUGAUGUCGAGUACUCUGAGCAUGUAACUCAGUAUUAUUAGCAAAUGUUAGUACUAACAUGAGUACAUAUUUUUUAGGUUGGGAAGGAUCACGAUUUUGUUGUUUGCAAAUUUUACUUGACUUGUGUACCAACAGUUAUUUCAUGGAUUCUUCUGGUAAAGCCACAUGAAUGAUUUAUGGUUGUCUGGUCAGCCAGCAACUAUCCUGUCUGUUAACUGAGGACUCUGUGAUAAGAUAUAGUGGAGUUGAACAGUUGAUGACAGGUCUCUGAUUGAAGAGGAAAGUUCAAUAUGUUUGUUUUAUCAUAUUCUAGUGGAAGGUUAAUUGCCCUAUUACCCUAGGCCAAAUUAGUUUUGUUUUAAAACAGUGACCUCUGUGUAUAGAAUUCUUAUGACCUAUUCAAUCACUCAUUUUCUUAUUAUGCAUUAGCCACUCUUUUGUAAUGCAUGGUACUUGCUUCAUAAGUU
rnacentral:lncRNA from 1 species